GACAGAGGGUGCAAACGUUGCUCGGAAUCACUGGGCGUAAAGGGCGUGUAGGCGGAUAGAUAAGUCGGGCGUGAAAGCCCCAGGCUCAACCUGGGAACUGCACUCGAAACUGUUUAUCUUGAGUGCCGGAGAGGAAAGCGGAAUACCUGGUGUAGAGGUGAAAUUCGUAGAUAUCAGGUGGAACACCAGUGGCGAAGGCGGCUUUCUGGAACGCAACUGACGCUGAGACGCGAAAGCGUGGGGAGCAAACAGG
rnacentral:rRNA from 1 species